rnacentral:misc_RNA from 1 species
GUGAAUCAUCAAAUCUUUGAACGCAAAUUGCACUCUCCUCGGAAAGUAUGCCUGUUUGAGGGUCAGUUAAAUUAAAGUCGGUGUUGUUGCUACCCGUAGUGGUGUGUGAUGCAUCGGAAUUGAGUCGUUCUUUACCUUUGGUUUAAGUGACUUAAAAUUAUGUUCGAUUUUUGAACGUAUUUAAAUUAUUACUUACGUUCGUAAUAUCACAUAUUAGGUGCGGUCAUUCACAUGAUUUCGCGUCUAUAAUUUUCAUUAUUUGACCUUCAAUUAAGGUAAGAAUACCCGCU